UACAGAGGGUGCGAGCGUUAAUCGGAAUUACUGGGCGUAAAGGGCGCGUAGGCGGUCAUGUAAGUUGGAUGUGAAAUCCCUGGGCUUAACCUAGGAACUGCAUCCAAGACUGUGUGACUAGAGUGCUGUAGAGGGUAGUGGAAUUUCCGGUGUAGCGGUGAAAUGCGUAGAUAUCGGAAGGAACACCAGUGGCGAAGGCGGCUACCUGGACAGACACUGACGCUGAGGCGCGAGAGCGUGGGGAGCAAACAGG
rnacentral:rRNA from 1 species